rnacentral:rRNA from 1 species
CGGAACACGUACACAACUUUCCUUUAAGUGGGGGAUAGCCCAGAGAAAUUUGGAUUAAUACCCCGUAACAUUAUGAGAUGGCAUCAUUUUAUAAUUAAAGCUCCGGCGCUUAGAGAUGGCUGUGCGGCUGAUUAGGUAGUUGGCGGGGUAAUAGCCCACCAAGCCUGCGAUCAGUAACUGGUGUGAGAGCACGACCAGUCACACGGGCACUGAGACACGGGCCCG